UCAUUGCUGAGUGGCAUAACUAUAAAAAAGUUAAAACUUUCAACAACGGAUCUCUUGGCUCUAGCAUCGAUGAAGAACGCAGCGAAAUGCGAUAAGUAAUGUGAAUUGCAGAAUUCAGUGAAUCAUCGAAUCUUUGAACGCACAUUGCGCCUGGCAGUAUUCUGCCAGGCAUGCCUGUCCGAGCGUCAUUU
rnacentral:rRNA from 1 species